AUGGUCUAAUGGUCAAGACAUCCCUACUGGAGUUGGGAAGGUCUAGGUUCAAUCCCUAGU
rnacentral:tRNA from 1 species